GACGAACGCUGGCGGCGUGCUUAACACAUGCAAGUCGAACGGUAAGGCCCUUCGGGGUACACGAGUGGCGAACGGGUGAGUAACACGUGGGUGAUCUGCCCUGUACUUCGGGCUAAGCCUGGGAAACUGGGUCUAAUACCGGAUAGGACCACUGCCUGCAUGGGGGGUGGUGGAAAGCUUUUGCGGUGUGGGAUGGGCCCGCGGCCUAUCAGCUUGUUGGUGGGGUGAUGGCCUACCAAGGCGACGACGGGUAGCCGGCCUGAGAGGGUGACCGGCCACACUGGGACCGAGAUACGGCCCAGACUCCUACGGGAGGCAGCAGUGGGGAAUAUUGCACAAUGGGCGCAAGCCUGAUGCAGCGACGCCGCGUGAGGGAUGACGGCCUUCGGGUUGUAAACCUCUUUCAGCACCGACGAAGCGCAAGUGACGGUAGGUGCAGAAGAAGGACCGGCCAACUACGUGCCAGCCGCCGCCGUAA
rnacentral:rRNA from 1 species